rnacentral:rRNA from 1 species
AUUGAACGCUGGCGGCAGGCUUAACACAUGCAAGUCGAGCGGAUGAAGGGAGCUUGCUCCUGGAUUCAGCGGCGGACGGGUGAGUAAUGCCUAGGAAUCUGCCUGGUAGUGGGGGAUAACGUCCGGAAACGGGCGCUAAUACCGCAUACGUCCUGAGGGAGAAAGUGGGGGAUCUUCGGACCUCACGCUAUCAGAUGAGCCUAGGUCGGAUUAGCUAGUUGGUGGGGUAAAGGCCUACCAAGGCGACGAUCCGUAACUGGUCUGAGAGGAUGAUCAGUCACACUGGAACUGAGACGCGGUCCAGACUCCUACGGGAGGCAGCAGUGGGGAAUAUUGGACAAUGGGCGAAAGCCUGAUCCAGCCAUGCCGCGUGUGUGAAGAAGGUCUUCGGAUUGUAAAGCACUUUAAGUUGGGAGGAAGGGCAGUAAGUUAAUACCUUGCUGUUUUGACGUUACCAACAGAAUAAGCACCGGCUAACUUCGUG